CGAGCGCAGGAAGCAAGCUGAUCCCCUUCGGGGGUGACGCUUGUGGAAUGAGCGGCGGACGGGUGAGUAACACGUGGGCAACCUGCCUGUAAGACUGGGAUAACCCCGGGAAACCGGGGCUAAUACCGGAUAAUACUUUCUUUUGCAUAAAGGAAAGUUGAAAGGCGGCUUCGGCUGUCACUUACAGAUGGGCCCGCGGCGCAUUAGCUAGUUGGUGAGGUAACGGCUCACCAAGGCGACGAUGCGUAGCCGACCUGAGAGGGUGAUCGGCCACACUGGGACUGAGACACGGCCCAGACUCCUACGGGAGGCAGCAGUAGGGAAUCUUCCGCAAUGGACGAAAGUCUGACGGAGCAACGCCGCGUGAGUGAUGAAGGUUUUCGGAUCGUAAAACUCUGUUGUUAGGGAAGAACAAGUUGGGUAGUAACUGACCCAACCUUGACGGUACCUAACCAGAAAGCCACGGCUAACUACGUGCCAGCAGCCGCGGUAAUACGUAGGUGGCAAGCGUUGUCCGGAAUUAUUGGGCGUAAAGCGCUCGCAGGCGGUCCUUUAAGUCUGAUGUGAAAUCUCGCGGCUCAACCGCGAACGGUCAUUGGAAACUGGAGGACUUGAGUACAGAAGAGGAGAGUGGAAUUCCACGUGUAGCGGUGAAAUGCGUAGAGAUGUGGAGGAACACCAGUGGCGAAGGCGACUCUCUGGUCUGUAACUGACGCUGAGGAGCGAAAGCGUGGGGAGCGAACAGGAUUAGAUACCCUGGUAGUCCACGCCGUAAACGAUGAGUGCUAGGUGUUAGGGGGUUUCCGCCCCUUAGUGCUGAAGUUAACGCAUUAAGCACUCCGCCUGGGGAGUACGGCCGCAAGGCUGAAACUCAAAAGAAUUGACGGGGGCCCGCACAAGCGGUGGAGCAUGUGGUUUAAUUCGAAGCACCGCGAAGAACCUUACCAGGUCUUGACAUCCUCUGCUAUUCCUAGAGAUAAGGAAGUUCCCUUCGGGGGACAGAAUUGACAGGGGGUUGCAUGGUUUGCCUUCAGCCUCGUGGCCUGGAGAUGUUUGGGUUAAUUCCCGGCAACCGAGGGCAACCCUUUG
rnacentral:rRNA from 1 species